AGCAGGUAGGGGAAUAUUGGACAAUGGGCGAAAGCCUGAUCCAGCAAUGCCGCGUGUGUGAAGAAGGUCUUCGGAUUGUAAAGCACUUUCGACGGGGACGAUGAUGACGGUACCCGUAGAAGAAGCCCCGGCUAACUACGUACCAG
rnacentral:rRNA from 1 species